rnacentral:sRNA from 1 species
GUAUCAUUUUGAAUUAUGUUUUUUCAAUUCCUUUUAUCCCGGGCAAGAAAAAAAGUCAAAGCCAAGAGAUGCCUGACUUUGACUUUCUGUCUGUUGAAUCAGAAUAUGCUGUGUGUUCUUCCGCCUAUAGCCAUGCGGGACAGAACU